CUGUUUCUGUGCCUGUGGCCAGGCAGGGCCAUUCCUUAUGGGUGUGAUUUUGCUGCUCCCCUCCUGGGCUCUGCUGGGGCUGUGUCUGCCUCGUGCUGUGCCCACCUGCCUCCAUCCCUGCUCUGUGUGCAUCGCCGGCCGUGCUGCCGUGUGUGAGCAGCUCCAUCUCCGCCAACUGCCAUGUCCCGCGAGACUUUGCCGGGGUUGGAGUGCAGCAAACCCAGGGUUGAGUUACUGGGGCUCUGUGAAGCAAUUGUUUCAAAGGACAAUUACUGCUGCACCACAUCUGUGCAGCUGCCGUUGCUCCCAGUGACAACGAGUAACUGCAAGAGUUUUUGGAGAUGCACAACUGUGUCCCUCUUCUGCUCCCUCUCCAGUGUUGUUGAGCACAAUCUCCUGGGUGCGCCCCCAGCACCCGGCCGUGCCCGCGAGCACUUGCUGCAGUUUCGCCUCCCCUCGAUUUAUUGCCCCUUUGAAAUAUCUCCACUGUGCCCAUUUACUUUUUAAUGCAGCGGAUGAAAAAACACUCUGUCAAGCUUUUCUUGUGAUGCUCUGCCAAUUACAUCAUCGCACUGCUGCAGGAUCAGAGCCCAGCAGAACCCAGGCAUCCUUCUGGGGGAUCUGUCUACCUCGGGGUGAUGAGCACCAGCUCUUUCAUGCGUGUCCUCAGAUGUGUCACUGCACCGUGCUGUUUGGAUCUUCCCGAGCAGAAUGAGCUGUAAUAAACUUGAUAAUCAAAAGCAUCUUGAUGUUCACCUGCUACUACUCAGGCUGGAGGAAAAAAUACUUUCUUAUUCAAAUGAAUGUUGGGUCUGGUGGGUCCCAUUGGCUCUGCCCAGGUGCCGACAGAUGCUCAGUGCCGUGGCGAGCUCCGGUGAGCAGCACCGCACCUCUGGGCUCCCCGCUCCAGCUCAGCAGGUCAAGCAGUCCGUGCUCCUCUCUCCUAGUUUGAAAUGCUGAGCACAAGCAUUUGAUUCAUCAAAUCUGUUUAAUUUUAAGCUAAAAAUAGCAGUUUAAAAUCCUCAAUCAUAUAUAAUUAGUCCUGCAUUUAUUUUUCAACAGAU